AGUGAACGCUGGCGGUAGGCCUAACACAUGCAAGUCGAACGGCAGCACAGAGGAGCUUGCUCCUUGGGUGGCGAGUGGCGGACGGGUGAGGAAUACAUCGGAAUCUACUCUGUCGUGGGGGAUAACGUAGGGAAACUUACGCUAAUACCGCAUACGACCUACGGGUGAAAGCAGGGGACCUUCGGGCCUUGCGCGAUUGAAUGAGCCGAUGUCGGAUUAGCUAGUUGGCGGGGUAAAGGCCCACCAAGGCGACGAUCCGUAGCUGGUCUGAGAGGAUGAUCAGCCACACUGGAACUGAGACACGGACCAGACUCCUACGGGAGGCAGAAGUGGGGAAUAUUGGACAAUGGGCGCAAGCCUGAUCAGCCAUACCGCGUGGGUGAAGAAGGCCUUCGGGUCGUAAAUCCCUUUUGUUGGGAAAGAAAUCCAGCUGGCUAAUACCCGGUUGGGAUGACGGUACCCAAAGAAUAAGCACCGGCUAACUUCGUGCCAGCCGCCGCAGUAA
rnacentral:rRNA from 1 species